rnacentral:rRNA from 1 species
CCUACGGGUGGGCAGCAGUGGGGAAUAUUGCACAAUGGGGGAAACCCUGAUGCAGCGACGCCGCGUGAGUGAAGAAGUAUUUCGGUAUGUAAAGCUCUAUCAGCAGGGAAGAAAAUGACGGUACCUGAUUAAGAAGCCCCGGCUAUAUACGUGCCAGCAGCCGCGGUAAUACGUAGGGGGCAAGCGUUAUCCGGAUUUACGGGAGGGAAAGGGAGCGUAGACGGCAGGACAAGUCUGGAGUGAAAUGCCGGGGCUUAACCCCGGAACUGCUUUGGAAACUGUGCAGCUAGAGUGCAGGAGAGGUAAGUAGAAUGCCUAGUGUAGCGGUGAAAUGCGUAGAGAUUAGGAGGAACACCAGUGGCGAAGGCGGCGUACUGGACUGUAACUGACGUUGAGGCGCGAAAGCGUGGGGAGCAAACAGGAUUAGAUACCCGAGUAGUC